UAAGUGGUUAUUUUGAUUUUAUAUCCAUCUAGAGAAAAUAUGAUUUAUAAAAUAUAUAUUAGCGGGUAUGGUGAUGAAUGAUAAAUUGAAAAGGAAAAAAAGGCGCCUGAAAUUUUUAAACAAGAAAGUGAGGAAUAAACUUAUUCCAAUUUCAGAAAAAAAAACCCUAAUUAAAGGAAUACAUCAUCUCUCGUCGGUAUACUCUGUUCCAUUACCAGCCUACCACCACCGCAUUAUCACUGGUAUUGUGAGCAUUUCUAGGUUCUUUUUUGUUUAGAUUGAAAUUUUAAAAUUUGUCCUUUUUAUUUGCUGUUUAAUUCUUGAUUUCAGCAUGUGAAAAUAUAGUAAAUACUGCAUAUAAUAUGAUUAAGGGUUUUUUAAUGAUUGUACUAUUUUGCUAAAGUUUUCAUCUUUAGAUAACAUGAACUUUUAUUAAAGUUCUCUUUUUAUGAACCCUAAUCACUAAUUAGGCUUGAUUGAAGGGGAGAUGGGAUAUUUUGGCAUAAAGAAGUGAAUUUGGUUACUUUUGAAAAUGGGGUUUAGCUUUAAUUAGUAUUGCUGAAAACCAAAUACUUAGUUGUUUUCUGUUCCUUUUACAAGGAAGAUACAAGGGGCAUUAUUGAUGCUUCCUUUUGAAUACAUAUGAGGCUUUACGAAUCACGGUAAAUACUAUCAUAAGGGUCAUCGUUGAGUAAGAGGGUUUGUUGCCUGAAAACUUGUGAAAUCUUAUUGAGUGGCACUGCUGUUAAAAAUCUUUCUGAAGUUAGAAAUUGACGUUAAGCUCGGUGUGUGAGACAGUGAGAUCAGAUUUGGUAAUUCUGAGAAUUUCUUCGUGGAUAAUAGUAAUAUGGUGCUUUGAGCCGUCUAUCUUAGCUUAUGCUUCAACUACUAGUUGGAAAUACUUUGAGAAUGUCUUUAUCAGAGAGCUGAAGAAGGUUUGCAGUCGUGAAUUUUUUUCCUGAUUCAUUUUUUAUAAAUGGAUUUUGAUGAUUAUUGAAGGAAGCUCCCUGCGUAAGUAUUCAUUGUGAAGUCAUCUGCAGCUUUAUAAAGCUUAUGUCUUUACCCAUUUUUUUUAUAAAGAGAGGACUGUAAAUGAGUUGGCUGCUCAUAAUGCUUUAGAAUUGCUUUAAGGGUUUCUUUUACUAGCUUUAUGGCAGCUGAUUGGUCAAGUUUAGGCUUUUCACUAGCUGCACUUUGGAUAUCAUUAUCUUCCCUUUGAUCCAUGCUGUAAAUAUAUGGAGUUAUGCUAUGUCAUUCGUUUCUUGACAGUUGUUUGUAUCACAACCAUCUUCUUCUUCAUUGAAUCCAUUAGCUCGCUGCUGCUCAUUGAUGGAUGCUUCAUUUGAUGCAACCUGCUAGUAAAUCGGGUUCCACAAACUGGUAUAUCUCCGUUUAUUGAAGAAAAUACUGGUCAUACCACCAACCAGGUUGACUUCAUAAUCCCUGUUAGAAGAUUGGGAUGGAACCUUGAGAGUGUUCCUAGGUUCUUUAACCCAUACCCUCAUCACUGAAUGAUAUAUUAUUAACACAAGCUGCCCUUGAACUCUUCUCAGAUAACACCAAAGUAGACUCUGAACUGUUGAUCUCAUCCGAUUCUUGCAGAAUUUUGUCAUCUGGAGGAAAUUGUACAAGUUUAAAAUUUCAGAAUUCAGUUGUUUGUAUGGUGUAGCAUGUUUAUAUCCUCUGAUUGCAAUAAAAAUGAAAGGAAAACUAAUUUAAAUACUUGUUGUGCUUGGCUGAUGUUCAUUAUCUUCUUUUGCAAAAUUUUUCACAGGAACAACCUGUUCAUUAGAUGAUAAUACAUCUUGCUGAAAUUUCACAAAUUGUUUCGUCUCUCCAUACAUUGGGGUAGACACACUUUUCACAAAAUAAUUCAUGUUGCUAUUCUUUUCCAUCUUUAGAGUGACUGUUUCAAAUGCUGCAACAAGUUGUGCUACUCUUCUUUGCUGAUCAGGAUCUAGCUUAGAAAUUACUUGUCUAAACGCAUUAUCAAACAUCCAUUCUUCAGUAUUUUUUUCUUUCGUUCAUGCUUAAAUGUCUUAGAUGUACUCUCUUUUUCUGUGAGGUUUCUCAUGGCAAGCUUAAACUGAAUUGUGGGACUUCUUCAAGCUUGCCUUGGCGUCUGUGUCAUGGUCUUGUAGGUAUUUUUAAUUCCAAGAAUAUCAUCUUUUCUAUAUUACUUUUCUAAUUCAACACUUGAUCCAUUGUUUUGCUCUUCUGCAUAUGAUUUCUGUCCGAGAUUAUUCAGUCCACUAUGAUGAACUAUUUGAUACUAACUCUUGGCCUUGACAGCUUCUGAUGAAACUUAACUUUUCUUGAUGUGUCUAUUAAUUCAUUUAGUUCUUUUAGUGAAUUGAUUUUUUGUUGCUACCUUCUAUAUGUAGCUGGUAUAAGUUAAUGAACAAAUGUAAUUAACUUUUAUUUUCCUUGUCAAACAUAUAUUUUGUUCCAGGUUGGAGAAUGUCUAUUAUUGGUUGCUUGUUAUAGCAUCUGGGGAUGCUUGAAGUUCACAUGCUGCUGUUGAUGCUCUCUCCAUAUGUACUUUGGCGAAGUUGCAACUGAAUUUUCUCAAAAUAAGCUUGAUGAGCUCGUAGACUUGUGAAGAAGAAUCAGAAGAUAAUAACCAUUUUAAUUAGGAUAUGUGUAUUUUCUUUUUGAGCGGGAUUAGGGAGGUGCUUUUAUGUUUGUACACGUGAAUUGGAUGAAACAGGCCUAGGUGCUCUAUUAUUUUUUUAUAACUUAGUUGAAUUUUUGGAAUCUUCUAACAUUAUAUUGAUAUACAUGUGAUUUUGUAGUGAAUGAUAUUGAAUGAAUGAAAAGGUAUUCCAAUUAUCAA